rnacentral:rRNA from 1 species
AAACCAACAGGGAUUGCCUUAGUAGCGGCGAGUGAAGCGGCAAAAGCUCAAAUUUGAAAUCUGGCACCUUCGGUGUCCGAGUUGUAAUUUGAAGAUUGUAACCUUGGGGUUGGCUCUUGUCUAUGUUUCUUGGAACAGGACGUCACAGAGGGUGAGAAUCCCGUGCGAUGAGAUGCCCAAUCCUAUGUAAGGUGCUUUCCAAGAGUCGAGUUGUUUGGGAAUGCAGCUCUAAGUGGGUGGUAAAUUCCAUCUAAAGCUAAAUAUUGGCGAGAGACCGAUAGCGAACAAGUACAGUGAUGGAAAGAUGAAAAGAACUUUGAAAAGAGAGUGAAAAAGUACGUGAAAUUGUUGAAAGGGAAGGGUUUGAGAUCAGACUCGAUAUUUUGUGAGCCUUGCCUUCGUGGCGGGGUGACCCGCAGCUUAUCGGGCCAGCAUCGGUUUGGGCGGUAGGAUAAUGGCGUAGGAAUGUGACUUUGCUUCGGUGAAGUGUUAUAGCCUGCGUUGAUGCUGCCUGCCUAGACCGAGGACUGCGAUUUUAUCAAGGAUGCUGGCAUAAUGAUCCCAAACCGC